rnacentral:lncRNA from 1 species
AUGGAGUCAAUGGUGAUGGAAUCUGUAGUGAUGAAGUCUUCAGUGGUGAUGGAGUCUGUGGUGAUGGAUUCUGUCGUGAUGGGGUCAGUGGUGAUGGAGUCUGUGGUGAUGGAGUCUAGUGGUGAUGGAGUCACUGGUGAUGGAGUCAGUGGUGAUGGAGUCUGUGGUGAUGGAGUCUGUGGUGAUGGAGUCUGUGGUGAUGGGGUCUGUGGUGAUGGAGUCUGUGGUGAUGGGGUUCUUAUGGUCAUCGGGAUGAUCAGUGUGAUGGAGUCAGUGGUGAUGGAGACAGUGGUGAUGGAGUCAGUGGUGAUGGAGUAUGUGGUGAUCGAGUCGUCAGUCGUGAUGGAGUCUGUAGUGGCCACCUCUGGAAAGGACAGGAGGGUGUUUUGGGUCAUGAUGGGAAAAGUUCUAGAUGUUCAUCUGGCUGCUGGUCACAUGGUUUGUACAUGUUCAAAGGUUUAUCAAGCUGUAUAGUUAAAAGUUGUGUAUUUUUCUCUUUGUAAGUGGUAACUAAGGAAUUCCUCAGAGAAGAGUGUGUCUGUGUAACAAGAACAGGGUGCUGUAAAACGCACUGAGAACAUAAAGAACUGCAAAUCAGGGGCCUGGCAGCAGAAAUAAAGCCCUCAAAGACUAGAAAAUAAAAGUGUAAUCCCAGCUACUUAGGAGGCUAAAGUGGGAGGAUCACCUGAGCCCAGGAGGCCGAGGCCGCAGCUGGCUGAGUUAGCACCACUAACUCCAGCCUAGGCAACAGUGAGACCCUGCCUCAAAAAAAAAGAAUCACACUGAGUACCACAAGAAAGGAUCAAGAAUAAACUGUAAAGGGUGACCCAGGACGCCUAACAAUCUGAAUAACAGGACUCCAGAGAGGCCAGAGAAAAUGGAAGUGGGAAAUCAUCAAAUAAUUCAACACGAUUUUCUGUAACUGAAGAGCAAGUUUCCAGAAUGCAAGGCCCUUGGGUAAGAGCUGAAAGUUAUAAUUGUGAAAUUGAAAAGCAAUGGAGGCCUAGAAAUGAAUCAAAUACAGCAAGAAGGGGAGACGGGAUCUCCCCAGAAGAAUUGAGUAUCAGACUUUGCAGCAGUGGCGGGAGCUGCAUGUCUGCAGAGCAGACUCACAUUUCAGAGGAAAAUCACUCCCUCCCUAAAACUCUGUCCCCAGCUGUGAAAUACAGAAGUAGAACACAGGUUUUUUUGAAGCGUGUAAGACCUCACAUUCACCCCCUUACCCCGUGUCUUCAGUUGCUCCUGGAGGAGGGCGCAUUAAAAUGGAAGAAUAGAUCAAGACACAGGACCCAUGGAAAGGGACCCACCCCAGCAGAGACCUGUGAUUUCUAGGACCUUGAUGUGGGCAGAUGCGGGGUAGCAGCUGCAUUCGGCAGGGCAGAGGCUUCCUCAACAAAAUAAAGUGGAUUGACAGCCUGGCACGCCAUGGUAUUUGAGAGGCGAUUUAUACAUCCAUGGGAGAGUUGACCAUGUGUUAACGAUGAGUGCAUACAAAACUCCAUUCUAGGGACAGCUGAAGUUGAGCUGAGAAGGAAAGGGCCA